UAGGGAAUAUUGGGCAAUGGGUGAGAGCCUGACCCAGCCAUGCCGCGUGCAGGAAGACGGCCCUCUGGGUUGUAAACUGCUUUUAUGAGGGAACAAAAGGGUCCUGCGGGACAGAUUGCGUGUACCUCACGAAUAAGCACCGGCUAACUCCGUGCCAGCAGCCGCGGUAAUACGGAGGGUGCAAGCGUUGUCCGGAUUUAUUGGGUUUAAAGGGUACGUAGGCGGAAGGCUAAGUCCGAGGUGAAAGCCCGCAGCUCAACUGCGGAGGUGCCUUGGAUACUGGUCAUCUUGAGUGCCGUAGAGGUAGGCGGAAUUCAUGGUGUAGCGGUGAAAUGCAUAGAUACCAUGAGGAACACCGAUAGGGAAGCCAGCUUACUAGACGGUUACUGACGCUGAGGUACGAAAGCGUGGGGAGCGAACAGGAUUAGAUACCCCCGUAGUCC
rnacentral:rRNA from 1 species